rnacentral:rRNA from 1 species
UACGUAGGGUGCGAGCGUUAAUCGGAAUUACUGGGCGUAAAGCGUGCGCAGGCGGCUUUGCAAGACAGAUGUGAAAUCCCCGGGCUCAACCUGGGAACUGCAUUUGUGACUGCAAGGCUAGAGUACGGCAGAGGGGGAUGGAAUUCCGCGUGUAGCAGUGAAAUGCGUAGAUAUGCGGAGGAACACCAAUGGCGAAGGCAAUCCCCUGGGCCUGUACUGACGCUAAUGCACGAAAGCGUGGGGAGCAAACAGG